AAUCGAAUGAGACCUUGGAGGACUGAAGUGGAGAAGGGUUUCGUGUGAACAGUGGUUGAUCACGAGUUAGUCGGUCCUAAGUUCAAGGCGAAAGCCGAAAAUUUUCAAGUUUUAAAAAUGUCAAAUGAAAUAAUAAAUAAUAAAACACUUGAAUAAUUUUGAACGAAAGGGAAUACGGUUCCAAUUCCGUAACCUGUUGAGUAUCCGUUUGUUAUUAAAUAUGGGCCUCGUGCUCAUCCUGGCAACAGGAACGACCAUAAAGAAGCCGUCGAGAGGUAUCGGAAGAGUUUUCUUUUCUGUUUUAUAGCCGUACUACCAUGGAAGUCUUUCGCAGAGAGAUAUGGUAGAUGGGCUAGAAGAGCAUGACAUAUACUGUUGUGUCGAUAUUUUCUCCUCGGACCUUGAAAAUUUAUGGUGGGGAUACGCAAACUUCUCAACAGGCCGUACCAAUAUCCGCAGCUGGUCUCCAAGGUGAAGAGUCUCUAGUCGAUAGAAUAAUGUAGGUAAGGGAAGUCGGCAAAUUAGAUCCGUAACUUCGGGAUAAGGAUUGGCUCUGAAGAUUGAGAUAGUCGGGCUUGAUUGGGAAACAAUAACAUGGUUUAUGUGCUCGUUCUGGGUAAAUAGAGUUUCUAUCAUUUAUGAUAGUUAUUUGUUCCCCGGAUAGUUAGUUACGUAGCCAAUUGUGGAACUUUCUUGCUAAAAUUUUUAAGAAUACUAAUUUUUAAUUAGUUCUUUUAAAUUAUAACGAUUAUCAAUUAACAAUCAAUUCAGAACUGGCACGGACUUGGGGAAUCCGACUGUCUAAUUAAAACAAAGCAUUGUGAUGGCCCUAGCGGGUGUUGACACAAUGUGAUUUCUGCCCAGUGCUCUGAAUGUCAAAGUGAAGAAAGGAGGUGGAGCUCGAAGCAAGUGGUAAUUUGAGAUUUCCUAAUAAGAAGCUAGCGGAAGUAUUUACUCACCGUAGCUCCGAAGCAAUUAAAUGUUUUCGGAAGAGGGGUGAAUAUAAGGCAAAACUGGAGCAGAUCAGAGGGCAAUCUACUCCCACCCCAGAAGCGUUGGACUCUAUUACCUCACAGCCUCGCCCUAGUUUACUCGAGCGAAACCACCAAGUAUCAUCGU
rnacentral:ncRNA from 1 species